rnacentral:lncRNA from 10 species
GUAUUUUCAGCAUGUUGGCCAGGCUGGUCUCAAACUCACCAUGUUGGCCGAGCUGGUCUUGAACUACUGACCACCUAGGAAGCUGUCUGGUCCUGGGCUUUUCUUUGUUAGGAGGUUUUUGAUUAUCGAUUAAAUUUCAUUUGUCAUUGAUCUGUUUAGAUUUUCUUCCUUCAUAAUUUAUUCUUGGUAGGUUGUAUGUGUCUAGAAACAUAUGCAUUUCUUCUAGGUUAUCCAAUUUGUUGGCAUAUGAUUGUUCAUGGUAGUCUUUUAUGACCUUUAUAUUUCUGUGUCAUCAGGUGUAAUGUCUUCUCUUUUAUUUCUGAUUUUAUUUAUUUGAUAUUGUGUCUCUUUUUUCCUUGGUUAGUUUAGCUAAGGGUUUGUUACUUUUGUUUAUCUUAGGGUUAUUUUAUUCUUUUUUUUCUAGUUUCAUGGGAUGUAAAGUUAGGUUAUUGAUUUGUGACAUUCCUUUUUUCUUUAUGUAGGUAUUUAUCAUGAUAAACUUUCCCCUUAGAACUGUUUUUGCUGCAUUCUAUAAGUUUUGGUAUGAUGUGUUUCCAUUUUCAUUUGCCUCAAGAUACUUUUUGAUUUCCACUUUUAACUCUAACAUAAGUGACGAAAGUACUAAAAAUAACUACAGCUACAAUAAUUUGUUAAUGGAUACAUGAUAUAAAAAGAUAUAAAGUUAAAAGUGAUUUACACACUACCAUUGCAGUAUUCUGAGUAUUUUGGAUUUGAUGAUAUAUUUACCUUUACCAGUGAGUUUCAUAUUUUUAUAUGUUUUAAUGUUGUUAUUUAGUAUCCUUUCAUUUCAACUUAAACACCUUUCUUUAGCAUUUCUUGUAAGGUAGGUCUAGUCGUGAUGAAAUCCUUUAUCUUUUAUUUGUCUGGAAAUGUCUUUUUUUCUUGUUGUUAGAGAUGGGGUCUCAUUUUGUCACCUAUGCUGAAGUGCAGUGGCAUGCUCAUAGCUCACUGAAGUUUGAACUCCUGGGCUCAAGCGAUCUUCUUGCCUUAGCUUCCCAAGUAGCUGGAAGUCCAAGUAGCUGGACAUCACCAUGCCUGGCACUUUGAAUGUAUCAUCCCACUCCCUCCUGGCCUGCAAGAUUUCUGCUGAGAAGUUUGCUGAUGAGGUUCCCUUGUAUGUG